ACCUCCGUAGCUUAGUGGUCAGAGCAUUGCACCGGCAUCGCAAAGGCGUAGGUUCAAUUCCUGCCGGAGGAC